UACGGAGGGAGCUAGCGUUGUUCGGAAUUACUGGGCGUAAAGCGCACGUAGGCGGCUUUUUAAGUCAGGGGUGAAAUCCCGGAGCUCAACCCCGGAACUGCCCUUGAAACUGGAGAGCUAGAAUCUUGGAGAGGCGAGUGGAAUUCCGAGUGUAGAGGUGAAAUUCGUAGAUAUUCGGAAGAACACCAGUGGCGAAGGCGACUCGCUGGACAAGUAUUGACGCUGAGGUGCGAAAGCGUGGGGAGCAAACAGG
rnacentral:rRNA from 1 species